GACAGAGGGUGCAAACGUUGUUCGGAAUUACUGGGCGUAAAGCGAGUGUAGGCGGUUCUGUAAGUCGGAUGUGAAAGCCCCGGGCUCAACCCGGGAAGUGCACUCGAUACUGCAGAGCUAGAGUACUGGAGAGGUGGGUGGAAUUCUCGGUGUAGAGGUGAAAUUCGUAGAUAUCGAGAGGAACACCGGCGGCGAAGGCGGCCCACUGGACAGAUACUGACGCUGAGACUCGAAAGCGUGGGUAGCAAACAGG
rnacentral:rRNA from 1 species